rnacentral:rRNA from 1 species
AAUCAACGCUGGCGGCGUGCCUUAUGCAUGCAAGUCGAACGAGGUUAGAAUUUCGGUUCGAAGCCUAGUGGCGGACGGGUGAGUAACACGUACGUGACCUGUCCAGAAGUGGGGAAUAACCGGCCGAAAGGUUGGCUAAUACCGCAUGUGGUCACCCCUUGGAAGGGGAUGACGAAAGCCGAAAGGCGCUUCUGGAGGAGCGUGUGGCCGAUUAGCUAGUUGGUGUGGUAACGGCGCACCAAGGCGAUGAUCGGUAGCUGGUCUGAGAGGAUGGUCAGCCACACUGGGACUGAGAUACGGCCCAGACUCCUACGGGAGGCAGCAGCAGGGAAUUUUGCGCAAUGGGCGAAAGCCUGACGCAGCAACGCCGC